UACGCAGGGGGCUAGCGUUGUUCGGAAUUACUGGGCGUAAAGGGCUCGUAGGCGGCCAACUAAGUCAGACGUGAAAUCCCUCAGCUUAACUGGGGAACUGCGUCUGAUACUGGAUGGCUAGAGUGUGGGAGAGGGAUGCGGAAUUCCAGGUGUAGCGGUGAAAUGCGUAGAUAUCUGGAGGAACACCGGUGGCGAAGGCGGCAUCCUGGACCACGACUGACGCUGAGUGAGCGAAAGCCAGGGGAGCAAACGGG
rnacentral:rRNA from 1 species